GACGAACGCUGGCGGCGUGCUUAACACAUGCAAGUCGAACGGUGAAGGGACCAGCUUGCUGGUUCUGGAUGAGUGGCGAACGGGUGAGUAACACGUGAGUAACCUGCCCCCUUCUUCUGGAUAACCGCAUGAAAGUGUGGCUAAUACGGGAUAUUCUGGGUCUGUCGCAUGACGGGCCCGGGAAAGAUAUUGCUUCGGUGGGGGAUGGGCUCGCGGCCUAUCAGCUUGUUGGUGGGGUGAUGGCCUACCAAGGCGGUGACGGGUAGCCGGCCUGAGAGGGUGGACGGUCACACUGGGACUGAGACACGGCCCAGACUCCUACGGGAGGCAGCAGUGGGGAAUAUUGCACAAUGGGCGCAAGCCUGAUGCAGCGACGCCGCGUGAGGGAUGGAGGCCUUCGGGUUGUAAACCUCUUUCGCCAGUGAAGCAGGCCUGCUCCUUGUGGGUGGGUUGACGGUAGCUGGAUAAGAAGCGCC
rnacentral:rRNA from 1 species